rnacentral:lncRNA from 1 species
UGUCUUAAAAGUUUGAUGCUUUAUUACAAAAGGUUGAAGCUUUGUGUUGCAUCUUAUGUUUGAGUAGCUAAAGGUUGAUGCUUUAUUACAAAAAUGUCUGAAGCUUUGUGUUGCAUGUUAUGUUUCAAUAGUUAAAAGGUAGCUGCUUUAUUACAAAAAGGUUGAAGCUUUGUGUUGCAUCUUAUGUUUGAAUAGAUUGCUGCUUUAUUACAAAAUGUCUGAACCUUUGUGUUGCAUGUUAUGUUUCAAUUAGUUAAAGUUUGCUGCUUUAUUACAAAAAGGUUGAAGCUUUGUCGUCUGUGUUGUUGCAUGUUAGGUUUUGAAUAGUUAAAAGGUCUCUUCUUUUG